CGAUGCCCUUAGUCACACUUGAAAAUAGACAGAUUACUGUAAUUGAAAAACCUUUCGAAGAAAAUACAGAAGCUCUCUCACGCCCGGAAACGCCAACCUCACACCACCCUCACACCCGAUCAGCACUAGCAACGAUUACAGAAGCAGCAGUAGAAAUUAGAACGGAAGAGCCAGAUUUUGUUCUACCUAUCCAAAG